UUCUCUUUCGCUAGUGACACUCCUUUUAUGAAAAAAAAUAGCCAAAAUACCCUUACAGCAAAAUCAAAUUUACAAAUUUUCUCUCAUUUUGCACCAUUCCUCUCAUCUUCCUCUGUUUUUACAAUAAGUAGAAGCAAGCCUUAAAUCUCACCCAAAAUCUCAACAACAUUAAAGGCAUGUUGCGUACGUUGUUUACCAACUACGAGGGUUGGAUUAGAGUUAAACUUAAUAAUAUGUCUUUUGACUAAGAGGCUCAUGUAAGACCAACCACUUAUCUACGAACUCGGAAAGAAUCCCAAGAAGAACACAUGUAACCUGUAUACUUAGAUCAAGAGGAUCUCCAACAUGAGCAUAUGGAUCAACCUCCAUAGUUAGAUGUAGAGAAGCCCAAACAAGAGCACAUGGACCAACCUUCACAAUUGAAUGUAGAAGAGCCCCAACUGGAGCAUGAUGGAUUUCCUAGCAGUCUAUUGGGCACAUUUGUCCUUAGGACAUAUGGUGUCCACGUGUCUACUCAACUUUGAGAAGGAAUGAUAAGUUAAGAAUCAUAUUAUAUUUUU